rnacentral:rRNA from 1 species
UACAGAGGUGGCAAGCGUUGUUCGGAAUUACUGGGCGUAAAGGGCGCGUAGGCGGCCACCGCAAGUCGACUGUGAAAUCUCCGGGCUUAACCCGGAAAGGUCAGCCGAUACUGCGGGGCUAGAGUGCAGAAGGGGCAACUGGAAUUCUCGGUGUAGCGGUGAAAUGCGUAGAUAUCGAGAGGAACACCUGCGGCGAAGGCGGGUUGCUGGGCUGACACUGACGCUGAUGCGCGAAAGCGUGGGGAGCAAACAGG